CACGGGGGAGGCAAGACGUUGUUCGGUAAGUACACUGGGCGGUAAAGGGACGGUGUAGGCGGUCAGGUAAGUAGGGAGUGUGAAAUAGCCCCGGCCUCACCCGGGGACCGGGCAUCCCAAACUGCCUGGCUUGAGUAUGGGAGAGGAUGAGGGAAUUCCUGGUGUAGCGGUGAAAUGCGUAGAUAUCAGGAGGAACACCGGUGGCGAAGGCGCUCAUCUGGCCCAAUACUGACGCUGAGGCGCGAAAGCUAGGGGAGCAAACGGGAUUAGAAA
rnacentral:rRNA from 1 species